rnacentral:rRNA from 1 species
UCUACGGAGAGUUUGAUUCUGGCUCAGAACGAACGCUGGCGGCGUGGAUAAGACAUGCAAGUCGAACGAGCUUAGUUCCGGAGCAAUUCGGGAUUGAGCGAGUGGCGAACGGGUGCGUAACACGUGAGUCAUCUGCCUGAAAGUGGGGGAUAGCUCGCCGAAAGGCGAAUUAAUACCGCAUGUGUCCCGAAGCAAUUCGGGGUAAAGCCGGGGCAACCUGGCGCUUUUAGAGGAACUCGCGGCCUAUCAGCUUGUUGGUGAGGUAACGGCUUACCAAGGCUUCGACGGGUAGCUGGUCUGAGAGGACGACCAGCCACACUGGAACUGAGACACGGUCCAGACACCUACGGGUGGCAGCAGUCGAGAAUUUUUCUCAAUGGGGGAAACCCUGAAGGAGCGACGCCGCGUGGAGGAUGAAG